rnacentral:rRNA from 1 species
GAACCAGUACCGUGAGGGAAAGGUGAAAAGCACCCCGGAAGGGGAGUGAAAUAGAACCUGAAACCGUGUGCUUACAAGUAGUCAGAGCCCGUUAAUGGGUGAUGGCGUGCCUUUUGUAGAAUGAACCGGCGAGUUACGAUUUGAUGCAAGGUUAAGCAGUAAAUGUGGAGCCGUAGCGAAAGCGAGUCUGAAUAGGGCGUUUAGUAUUUGGUCGUAGACCCGAAACCAGGUGAUCUACCCUUGGUCAGGUUGAAGUUCAGGUAACACUGAAUGGAGGACCGAACCGACUUACGUUGAAAAGUGAGCGGAUGAACUGAGGGUAGCGGAGAAAUUCCAAUCGAACCUGGAGAUAGCUGGUUCUCUCCGAAAUAGCUUUAGGGCUAGCCUCAAGUGAUGAUUAUUGGAGGUAGAGCACUGUUUGGACGAGGGGCCCCUCUCGGGUUACCGAAUUCAGACAAACUCCGAAUGCCAAUUAAUUUAACUUGGGAGUCAGAACAUGGGUGAUAAGGUCCGUGUUCGAAAGGGAAACAGCCCAGACCACCAGCUAAGGUCCCAAAAUAUAUGUUAAGUGGAAAAGGAUGUGGCGUUGCCCAGACAACUAGGAUGUUGGCUUAGAAGCAGCCAUCAUUUAAAGAGUGCGUAAUAGCUCACUAGUCGAGUGACACUGCGCCGAAAAUGUACCGGGGCUAAACAUAUUACCGAAGCUGUGGAUUGUCCUUUGGACAAUGGUAGGAGAGCGUUCUAAGGGCGUUGAAGCAUGAUCGUAAGGACAUGUGGAGCGCUUAGAAGUGAGAAUGCCGGUGUGAGUAGCGAAAGACGGGUGAGAAUCCCGUCCACCGAUUGACUAAGGUUUCCAGAGGAAGGCUCGUCCGCUCUGGGUUAGUCGGGUCCUAAGCUGAGGCCGACAGGCGUAGGCGAUGGAUAACAGGUUGAUAUUCCUGUACCACCUAUAAUCGUUUUAAUCGAUGGGGGGACGCAGUAGGAUAGGCGAAGCGUGCGAUUGGAUUGCACGUCUAAGCAGUAAGGCUGAGUAUUAGGCAAAUCCGGUACUCAUUAAGGCUGAGCUGUGAUGGGGAGAAGACAUUGUGUCUUCGAGUCGUUGAUUUCACACUGCCGAGAAAAGCCUCUAGAUAGAAAAUAGGUGCCCGUACCGCAAACCGACACAGGUAGUCAAGAUGAGAAUUCUAAGGUGAGCGAGCGAACUCUCGUUAAGGAACUCGGCAAAAUGACCCCGUAACUUCGGGAGAAGGGGUGCUCUUUAGGGUUAACGCCCAGAAGAGCCGCAGUGAAUAGGCCCAAGCGACUGUUUAUCAAAAACACAGGUCUCUGCUAAACCGUAAGGUGAUGUAUAGGGGCUGACGCCUGCCCGGUGCUGGAAGGUUAAGAGGAGUGGUUAGCUUCUGCGAAGCUACGAAUCGAAGCCCCAGUAAACGGCGGCCGUAACUAUAACGGUCCUAAGGUAGCGAAAUUCCUUGUCGGGUAAGUUCCGACCCGCACGAAAGGCGUAACGAUUUGGGCACUGUCUCAACGAGAGACUCGGUGAAAUCAUAGUACCUGUGAAGAUGCAGGUUACCCGCGACAGGACGGAAAGACCCCGUGGAGCUUUACUGUAGCCUGAUAUUGAAAUUCGGCACAGCUUGUACAGGAUAGGUAGGAGCCUUUGAAACGUGAGCGCUAGCUUACGUGGAGGCGCUGGUGGGAUACUACCCUAGCUGUGUUGGCUUUCUAACCCGCACCACUUAUCGUGGUGGGAGACAGUGUCAGGCGGGCAGUUUGACUGGGGCGGUCGCCUCCUAAAAGGUAACGGAGGCGCUCAAAGGUUCCCUCAGAAUGGUUGGAAAUCAUUCAUAGAGUGUAAAGGCAUAAGGGAGCUUGACUGCGAGACCUACAAGUCGAGCAGGGUCGAAAGACGGACUUAGUGAUCCGGUGGUUCCGCAUGGAAGGGCCAUCGCUCAACGGAUAAAAGCUACCCCGGGGAUAACAGGCUUAUCUCCCCCAAGAGUUCACAUCGACGGGGAGGUUUGGCACCUCGAUGUCGGCUCAUCGCAUCCUGGGGCUGUAGUCGGUCCCAAGGGUUGGGCUGUUCGCCCAUUAAAGCGGUACGCGAGCUGGGUUCAGAACGUCGUGAGACAGUUCGGUCCCUAUCCGUCGUGGGCGUAGGAAAUUUGAGAGGAGCUGUCCUUAGUACGAGAGGACCGGGAUGGACAUACCUCUGGUGUACCAGUUGUCGUGCCAACGGCAUAGCUGGGUAGCUAUGUGUGGACGGGAUAAGUGCUGAAAGCAUCUAAGCAUGAAGCCCCCCUCAAGAUGAGAUUUCCCAACUUCGGUUAUAAGAUCCCUCAAAGAUGAUGAGGUUAAUAGGUUCGAGGUGGAAGCAUGGUGACAUGUGGAGCUGACGAAUACUAAUCGAUCGAAGACUUAAUCAAAA